rnacentral:rRNA from 1 species
GACGAACCGUGCAAACGUUGUUCGGAAUCACUGGGCUUAAAGGGCGCGUAGGCGGGUGGACAAGUCUGAGGUGAAACCCUUCAGCUCAACUGGAGAACGGCCUUGGAUACUGUCCAUCUCGAGGGAGGUAGGGGCAUGUGGAACUUCCGGUGGAGCGGUGAAAUGUGUUGAUAUCGGAAGGAACUCCGGUGGCGAAAGCGACGUGCUGGACCUCUACUGACGCUGAGGCGCGAAAGCCAGGGGAGCAAACGGG